GGGCCGCUUGCGGAACCAGAGGGUUCCGGAAUAGCUGGAAGACCUGUCAGGACUACUUAGUAGUUAGACAUCUUGCACAGUUCCAUCUCUGAGAUUCUGUAAUUCUGUGUCGCUGCGUUCAAAUCACUUCCCCUUUCCCAGGGACCUCAAUAUGCUCACCUAUAAAGGCUUGUCUAAGGACCCAGCUUGCCCUUGAGAAGGGCGGAAGGAAGAUGGGAGCUGAGUACUGGCCCUACCGAGGGCCAGCGCCUAAGUUGGAAACAAGCAGAGCUGCGGAGGGGAGAAAACUCUAAAGCUCUUGCAUUGCUCACUUGAAAGAAGUGGCUGGGUUCUUUGCCUUCUUCUGGGCUCAGCCCAGCCCCCUUGGGGUGGACCUCUACAGCUGUAUCCAGGCAGGCUUGGGGCCGAGGGAGUGAGACUCGGUAGCGGUUUGCAGUAGAACAGGAGUUACAUCUUUUUGACCUCUUCUGCCCCACCUCCUCUCCCAGGGGGCGCAGAUGGUGAGGCCCACAGACCAUUCCACUCUGUAGGGAGCACGGGGUGGGAUUGAGGGGGCUGCGCAGCAGGAGCCGGGGCCCCGCGCUUCUAGGAGCAGAUGGUG
rnacentral:lncRNA from 1 species